GUGUCUCAAUGGUAGAGAAUCUGCCUGGCAUGCAGAAGGUCCCAGGUUCAAUCCUUGGGACCU
rnacentral:tRNA from 1 species